rnacentral:sRNA from 1 species
AUGGAUGGGUGGCUUUCCAUUCACAAGCACUGGAGUAUCUUCAUUUUCCAAGGGCUUCCUGUUAUUUCAUGCAUUUUCAUCUGCCCAUUGCCACAGAGCUGAAACACACCCUUGUGGAUGGUCACUCUUGAGAUGAACUUGCCCUUCUCCCUGCACAUGAACGUAGAAGACAGGCCAUUUUCUGGAAAGAUGCUGAGUGUUGCCCUUAUAUGCUGGGCCCUGCUUGUCGUCUUGCAGUGCUGUCCAGGAUGCCUCCUAUAGAGAGAAGAGACCCACCCCUCCCUGGAAGGCCCUGGAACAUUCCAGAACAGUCUCUCUGAAUGCCCUGGAAGCAUGUGGCAAAGCAGCAAGAAAAGAGGGACUCUGUGAGCCUUCCCUGGUGAAAUUAGAUCUAUUGGCUCUGACAGCGGGGGCUCUGUGUGCCAGCCAAGGAAACAUAAAGCCAAAAGGCCGUGGCAAGAGGCUCUGAAGUUGUUCCUGCUUGAACUUGUCACCUCUGCGUAGGAGAUCCUGGGAGAGGUGGUCGGGUGGCCACCCCUAGACAGCAGGUCCCACCAUGGUGUGGCUAGAGCUGGAGCUCAAACUUGGAGCCGCAGCCACUGUUGCUCUAAAUAUAGGGGCUUUAGGAAACUUUAUGUGAGUUGUGCCCUCAGUUCACCCUCUGCGACCGGCACCUCCAGAAUGCCCACUUGGCGGAUUUUUUAUUUCCACAGACUUGUCCAGGAGGAAGGGUGGGAAAACCUUCCCCCAGUGCCAGGAGGGGAAAUCGUCCUCUAUCGAAUGGUAACUUGUUAUCUGCUCAACCCAUCAGCAUCAAACUUGCUUGGCCUGAAGCAUUCCGGGGCGAAUUCCACCAGGUAGCCCUAAGGUGGACCAGACCAUUAGAUUGACCGUAGUCAUCCAUGCAGAACCUGGGGCUCAGGACCUGGAAUGAAGGGUCCAGGGGUCCCCUGAGUACAUCCACAGAACCCUCUAGGGUGCCUAGCCCAGCAGUUUCCCAACCUUAAGGUUCCUGGGGACUCUUAUGAUCCUGGCUAUAAACAACCCUAUAUUUUCUUUUUAGAGAAUGCUUUUAGUCUUUGAUUGUGACAGCUAUGGAUCCAUCAUUCUUUGUUCAGAGAAAGGCCAAGAACUCCUGUGACUCUUGUCAGACCCUUUUGUUGCUACCGACAGCCUAAGACUGUCAUUUCUCUCGGACUCCUGAUGUACCACCUGCGCUGACCCCAGCUGUGCCCCCACUGACCCCAGUGCUGGGAUCUCCAGGCAUCUCCACUGGCCUCUCCGCAUCCUGGCAACUGAUUCAUUAUCUCUGGCAUCAUCUCUAGCAUCCUGGGCAUUGUGAGGACCACCAACAUACCCAGCAUCAUCCCCUGUGCCACAGCAGCAGCCUGUGUAUCCCAAGUGUUGACUGCACACCGGGGUGGACCACAGACCUCUCGAGUGCGGAAUGCGAUGCUUCUGAGGAGGGAUUCCAUCUUGUUCUGAUAGCCAAGAUGAGGCUAACGAACUGCCCCACAUCUUGCUGGCUUUGCAGUGAUGGGGGAAGGAGGAAGACAAGGAGGGACGAGGAGCAACGAAAUGCUGAAUGGUGACGUAGGGAGGUCUCUCAGCUAUGACUUAAUUCCACAGUGACCUGUUCAGCAGGCAGUGUUCUGGAGAUAUAGGUGUGGUGCACCCUAGCAAGUCGAGAGCUCCCUGAGGUGUGAGCUCCUCCAUCCACACCCAGGGUCCAGCUGCUGUCUGUGUGCCAGCAUGGGUCAUGCUUGGAUGUAAGUACCAAGAUCCGUGCAGGGCCCAGCAGCAAAAGAAUGGCUUUGCCUAGGCUGGUCUCCAUCACUUACAGGGGAGAAGGUGCUAUGCUGAAUCAUCUGGCCCAGAAGCUACAGGCUUCAGAGGAGCCCAGGUGGGACUGUCUGGGAAUGGGUCUCAUAAGAGCCUAGCUCAGAGCUGGCUCUGGAGAGCCACAGGAACGUGCUCCAGGAGCACACAGCACAGGCACACACUUGCUCAAUGGUACAGCACAUAAGCUCAGGUGAGGGGAGCGAUCCAGCCUAGCUCCAGUGCUGUGGACUCUGAAGUCACUCCAGACCCUGUGAGGGGUGUAAUGCAGUUUGUUUCCACAAUGCUGGAACUUUCUACACUUUUUGGCUUUCCUUUUUUUUUUCCAGGCAAGGUCUUACUAUAUAACCCUGACUAGCUUGGAACUCACUAUAUAGACCAGGCUGGCCUUGAUCUCACAGACGUCCAACUACCUCUGCCUCCUGAGUGCUGGGAUGAAAGGUGUGCACCAAUAGACCUAGCACCUUUCCAGUUUUGAUACAAGUUGACUUCUUUCCUCCCCAUAGCUCACACCCCAGGAGGAAGCUACAUGCAUUGCAGCUGCUUGUGAUACCCCUGGGUGUGUGGCCAUGUAGGUACACGAAGGAUGUGGUUGGGUACAUGGCGGGGGUGUAUGUAUUGGGUUCCAAACUAUCCAGAAAAGAGACGGUAGUCAUGGAGCCUCACAACAACCUGUAGAGAGAAUAUCUCGUGUAUUCUAUGUAUGCAUUACCUGUAGGUAACUGAAAAACCUGUAGGAAAGGGUUGAAUAGAAGGUGGGAUAUCUGGGAGGCAGAAAGGAUUCUGGGAUAGAACAAGGCAAGGGAGAAUCACCUGGGAAGAUGUGACCAGACCUGAACACAGGUAACCAGUCAUGUGGCAGACUGUAGGUUAGAAUAAACAAGCUAUUUUUAUGUUGUGAUUUUGUCAAAGAAGAGCAUAGUUAUGUGACCGAGGUAUUUGUAGAUAUAUUUUGAGUCUGUCUUAUUUCUGAGAGCAUGGGGCUGAGAGGAAGAACCAGGCCUAAAUUCUACAACAAUCAUCUAGGAAGGAGAGAAAAAAAACUAAACUGAGGGUCACUGAAACCCCCAAAUCAGAGCCAUGGGUUCUGACUCACUACUCAGCAGCCUCAUGGCUAUUGGCUGAUGCUAGUGGGCUCAUCCCAACAGCUGGGGGACAAUAGGACCAACCAUCCUCAUAGGAGAGUGAAAGGUUCAUUUCAGGGGUCAGUCUAGAGAGGCCAUGGAUGCUCUGUGUGACACUCAGGAACUUACUUUCUAGCAGGUUAUGAGCUUCAGGUAAGAAUGAAGGUAGGAGCCCUCCUUAGGAAGUGGGGACCAGUACUUAGGAAAUGGGAUUCUAGGUAGCUAUAGUGACUGUGAGAGUUGGGGGUGAGAGGUGUAUAGGGGUGAACAUCCUAAGCCUAGUGCCUCUGACCAACCCCUGCUCCAAGUGCCUCACUCCCUGCCAGCACUGAUUCCAAACACACAGGUCUUUGGCCUGGGCAGAUGGGCCGUGGGGCUACUUGGGCGUCCUUGCAUGAAUCCACUGCCAAUGUGGGGUCCAAAAGGCAGAUGUCUUUCCCAGGUCCCAGUUCAAAUUCAGGGUGCCAAAGAAUAUCCUGUUCAUGGUAAGGAUGUCUUUCUGACUUGAGUCCUCACAUGGCUGUCUGGGGGAGGGAUGGGAUUCAUCAGAGUCAUUUCUUAUGAAGGUGCCAGCUCCAUCAUGGAGCCAAACAAAUAACCUCACUCACCUAUCACCGCCCCACCCCCCGACCACACACACACACACACAUAUCACCGCCCCCCCCAUACACGUGCAUUGUGCAUGCCUACCUUUAGACAAGGUGGGAUCAGAGCUUAGCAUUGGCACAGGGAGCAGGAUUCAGUCUGAGAGAUGGUUUUGCC